AUGAGGGGCCCGGCGGCGGGGACGGAGCGGAGAGCCACGAAAGUGAAGAAAGCGUCCAAAAUAAAGGCGGUGAAAAAAGCGAGGGAAGCGUCUCAAGCGGGCAAGGCGCCGAAAAUGGCGAAAACGAAGACUCCGAAGCGGGCGGCAGCCGUGGCGGAUCAGGCGGCGGCGGAGGCGGCGCGGCGCGCCCGGCACCUGAGGGAUGUGAGCCAGGCGUCGGGCGCCGAGCGGGAGCUGGAGGAGCUGGUGUUCGGUGACAGCCUCAAAGUGGAGGAGGACGAGCUGCUGCGGCGCCUGGGCGGGCCCCCGAGGGUUGCUGCCACAGAGAGGAAAGGUCUCCAAGAAGACUCCAGCGAUUCCGAGGUAGAAAAUGAAGCGAAAGGCGACUUGUUGCCCAGAAAGCCGGCCUGGGUGGAUGAGGAUGAUGAAGCCGAGGAAAAUGUUGACAUGACCCAUAAAUACAGGAGGGAUUUCAUGAAAAGUGACGCUGAGAAGACACUUACUAAGAAAAAACUAAAAAGAAGACUUGAGGAACAGUUUCAGCAAGCCAUGGGAGGAGUUCCUGCCUGGGCUAACUUAGAAAACAGGAAGAAAUCCAAAAGGACUUCAAGUGAUAGUGAGAGUGAUGAAGAUGAUGAUCUUCUACGCAGGACUGGCAAUUUCAUAACGAGCUCAGAGUCCCUGCCAAGAGGGAUUUUGAAGAUGAGCACCUGCCUGCCUGCAAACCAGGAACGCUUUGCCAAUGGAAAACUGGUGACUGUGCAGUUCCAUCCUUCAGCCCAAGUGGUCAUGACUGCGGGACACGAUCGGUCUGUGUCGCUCUUCCAGGUGGAUGGUAUAAGAAAUCCAAAAAUACAGAGCAUCUAUUUAGAGAGUUUUCCAAUUUACAAGGCUCGUUUCAGUGUUGAUGGAGAACAAGUUAUAGCCACUGGUACUCACCACAGCAUGUUCUUUGUGUAUGACAUGAUGGCUGGAAAUAUUAUUCCUAUACCCAAAGUCCGAGGUGUGGAGGAAAGAUUUCUUAGAAACUUCGAGCUCUCUCCAGAUGGAUCAUUUAUGCUGCUAAUUGGAACCUCAGGUUACCUUCACUUGCUGUCCAUGAAGACAAAGGAACUGAUCAGCAGUAUGAAGGUAAAUGGAAGGUGCACUGCAUCUGCUUUCACUCCAGACAGCAGCAAAAUAUACAACUAUUCAAAGGAAGGCGAAGUUUUCAUUUGGGAUGUGAGAAGCAGGAAGUGUCUACACAAAUUUGAAGAUGAAGGUUCUUUGGAAGGACAGUGCAUUGCUGUUUCAAAGAACAACCAGUAUGUGGCAUGUGGUUCAUCUUCAGGGGUUGUAAAUUUAUAUACCACUGAUGUCUGUCUCAAGGAAAACCGUCCUAAGCCAGUUAAGGCCAUAAUGAACCUUGUUACUUCUGCCACCUGUGUGACCUUCAACCCCACCACGGAAAUUUUGGCAGUGGCUUCCCGUGAUGCUGAUGAGGCUGUGAAAUUGGUGCACAUUCCUUCAUACACUGUGUUCUCAAACUUCCCGGUGUUCAGAAGAAAACAGAUUUAUCUUGCUCAGUCUAUGGACUUUUCUCCCAGAAGUGGCUAUUUCUCUGUAGCAAACAACAAAGGCAAAGCCUUGUUAUUUAGGCUGAAACAUUAUUCAUCUUUCUGAAGGAAGAUACUGGAGAAAAAGGACCAGUAUCUGAGGUGAACUGCUGACAACAUUGACUUGAGGAACUUUAUUUUCAUUUUGCUACCUCCACCUCUUUAUAGAUGGCAGGAAGAAAUUCAUAACACUGUGUGAUCUGAAACUGGUCUGGAUCACUCAUGUAGAAGGAUGGGCUGGAGUAGGGCUUGCCUUGUCAAUCCCAGAUUGCCCAAUAGAGCAAGUUGAUAGUUCAACUAAAAUCUGUCAACAGGACUGAGGAGAAGUUAAUUGAUAGUGUAAUUGAUUAUAUUUAAAUCAGUCUCAGCAGUGUUGUAAAACUGGCAGAUGCUUGGCCUGAUCCUGUUAUGGAGUUGUGUAAGUGAGCCCACAGGAGUCUGCAUCACUUCGAACUCAGAUUACAAACAUCACUGAAGUUUAAAGCCCAAGUUUGUGUGCAGAUACGAUUUUAUUGAACACUUAAAUGUCUUCUUGGGAAACUGGAAAGACCUGUAGCCUUGGCAGUAAUACAGUAGUUCUGUUUGACAAGAAAUGUGUUGAUGAGGGGGAGCUGAACUUGUUCAGACUGGAAGCAGGUCUGAUUGCUGCAUGUUAAGCUUGCACAGGAUUUUGUGAUGGCUCAGUGUUUGGAAGAUACUAACAAAAUUCUCUGUGCUGGUCUUUCCCCAGGUGUUGUAACCUGCAGAUACGAGAACGCUGACAAAAUCAAACAAGUCUUAUUUAUAUGGAAGUUACAAAAUACUAAUAGAACAUCUGUAUUUUUGAAUGUUGUUUUUUUUUUAAUAAAUAUACCUGUGUCACCCAGCAGGGAUUGUGCUGGAGCUGCUGCUGCUGGUUCUUCAUCAGCUGCUAAAUCCUGCACCUCUGAUCACGCUCUUGCUGAAGUGGCCGCUUCUUUCUUCUUAAAUACGUGAACAAAAAGUUGACUAGGAGUCUGCUACAGUGCAAACCCUGCUUUGAGAAUAAAUUGUGACCAAUGUGUCUGUCCACUUCACAGCAGGGAGCUUUUUGGGCAGUAACAGCAAGAGCCAAGGUGCUUCAGUAACCAGCAGUGAAGUCAUUAAGCCUUCAGUGAAAGUGGCAUUGCAGAAAAUGCACUCCGAGCCUGAGAAAAAUUAUAUUCUAGAGCCAUGUCAAAAAUUUUAAAUACAUGAGCCUAUUGUUGAAUUCUUGUCAUGCUGUUUUAAAAAGCAAAAUGGUGUUUUCUGAUGUAAUGGAUUUUUGAAAUCGCUUUGCAAAUGAUUGUAAGAUGAGAACUUGAAUUCACAAAUCUUGGGAAAAGCAGAAUAGGCUGUGGAGGUGUUAAACUGAAUACAGUGUUUAAUUGUACUGCAGUGCUAAACCUAAACUAAAACCCCUGGGAUGGAAGAGUAAAAUUAAAUCAGAAGCACACUUUAUUAAGUUGCUUGCUAUAGGAUUCUUCUGUUACAAACAAAUCUGUCUAAAAUCUAGCUGGGGCUGAGACUGUUGAGUUUCAGAAAUCCAGGUGCUGGAAGUGGUUUCUGACUUCACUAGAGGGCAGCCCAGCAUUGCUGUUGGGAGGUUUGGCUGUUGGAUGUUACUGAACAGUUUGUCCCAUGACAGCUCUGCUGAUGGGAGAGGGUUUGGUUGUGGUUGGUAACAUAAUUCCCCUUUUCUCAUCGUCUCUGUAUUUUACCAGGUUUAAGUAGUGUGACUUCAUCCACAAAAUUUUUAAAUCAUUUUAAAUAAAAGAUUUCUGAAAAGGUAAAUUUUGGAAUAUGUGACCUGUUACCAGAUCACUCUGAAGUAGCUGUGAAGGGGUUUAAUGCCAUUUCAUCUACUUGUCCUGAGACUGUUCCACUCCUUGCACAGUAUGUGCUUCUCUAAUUUACCCAUUAAAAAAAUAAAAUCCCUAAUCCAGUGACUCAAAGCCUUUUAGGAAGUCCUUGGCAGAUCUGGGAUUAGAAUUUGGGAAUUACUGGGUCCUGGACCUCUUUAGUUUGCUUCAACACAAUCAAUUCUGCUGUUUUUCCUUGCCCAUCCUGCUGACUCCUGGUUGUAUGAGGUCCAGAUUGGAUGGGACAGGUGAGUAAAUGGAAAAGGUGUCAUAAAACUGAGGUGCUGUGUGCUCUUUAAUCACUGCAAAUUACUUCAAAUAGUGGCAGGAAGGAAGAAGAGAUUAAAUAUUUAUUUUUUGCAAAUUCUCUGAUGUAAAUUGUGAAUUUUAAGCUCUGCUGAGUUGCUGCAGUACAGGAAUGUUAAAGCUUUGUGUUAAGUACCUUAAUUCUUGAUGUUGCCUUUUUGUCUUCUGGAAAACAAAACUUAUUGCCCCAUCCAGUAUAAGGUAGGGAAGACUUUUGCUCUGAGAAACAAAGGAAACCUCAAGGUAUUUGUUGCAGUCUGUAGUGGGUUUUGAGCAAUGGCACUUCCACGAACUGAGCAGGUCUUAAAAGUUGGAUGAUAUGCAAGAAACUGAAACUGUUACUGGUGUGUCUGGGGAUAUUUCUUUGGAAUGGGAUGAAUUACUGUUAAGUACACUCAUUGCUGUACUCUCAUUCUGAAAAGCUCAGCUCUUUGUCACUUUGCCAUGUGUUAGGAG